rnacentral:lncRNA from 1 species
AUGGGGCUCAAGCAAGUGCCCCGUUUAGAAAAUCUGGGGUUUAAGUACCCUUUAGAGGUUUCCUAUUUGGUUACACCCUAUGUAAAUAAAGACUUGGCCUGCCACCAAUCAGAGGCUGAAGUGAAUGCUCCUUUGUCUCCAGACCCUAUUCUCUGGCCUCAGUGGGAGGCAGAGCUUGCAGUGAGCCGAGACGGUGCUACUGCACUCCAGCUUGGGCGACAGAGCGAGACUCCGUCUCAAAAAAAAAAAAAAGACCUGUCUCUCUACAAAAAAUGAAAAAACUAGCAGGGCAUAGUGGUACAACCU